rnacentral:rRNA from 1 species
GACGAACGCUGGCGGCGUGCUUUAUACAUGCAAGUCGAACGAUGAAGUUCCUUCGGGAAUGGAUUAGUGGCGAACGGGUGAGGAACACGUGAGAAACCUGCCUUUCAUUCUGGGAUAACACCGGGAAACCGGUGCUAAUACCGGAUACUCCGUCUUGGCGGCAUCGCCGAGCCGGGAAAAAAUUUUGGUGAAAGAUGGUCUCGCGGCCUAUCAGCUAGUUGGUGAGGUAAAGGCUCACCAAGGCGACGACGGGUAGCCGGCCUGAGAGGGCGACCGGCCACACUGGGACUGAGACGCGGCCCAGACUCCUACGGGAGGCAGCAGUAGGGAAUAUUGGGCAAUGGGCGCAAGCCUGACCCAGCGACGCCGCGUGAGGGAUGAAGGUCUUCGGAUUGUAAACCUCUUUCAGUAGGGAAGAAGCGAAAGUGACGGUACCUAAAGAAGAAGCACCGGCUAACUAUGUGCCAGCAGCCGCAGUAA